rnacentral:rRNA from 1 species
CUCGUAGUUGGACCUGUGUUCCACGCUGUCGGUUCGCCGCCCGUCGGUGUUAACUGGCAUGUCCUGUGGAACGUCCUGCCGGUGGCGGUCCGGGCUCUCGGCUUGCGUAAAGGCUUAUGCCCGAAGCAGGUUGAAAAGUUCCGGCCGCCGGUCCAAUCCCGCCACGGUGCUCUUCACCGAGUGUCGAGGUGGGCCGGCACGUUUACUUUGAACAAAUUAGAGUGCUUAAAGCAGGCUGGUUUCCGCCUGAAUAUUGUGUGCAUGGAAUAAUGGAAUAGGACCUCGGUUCUAUUUUGUUGGUUUUCGGAACCCGAGGUAAUGAUUAAUAGGGACAGGCGGGGGCAUUCGUAUUGCGACGUUAGAGGUGAAAUUCUUGGAUCGUCGCAAGACGAACCUAAGCGAAAGCAUUUGCCAAGUAUGUUCUCGUUAAUCAAGAACGAAAGUUAGAGGUUCGAAGGCGAUCAGAUACCGCCCUAGUUCUAACCAUAAACGAUGCCAGCCAGCGAUCCGCCGAAGUUCCUCCGAUGACUCGGCGGGCAGCUUCCGGGAAACCAAAGCUUUUGGGUUCCGGGGGAAGUAUGGUUGCAAAGCUGAAACUUAAAGGAAUUGACGGAAGGGCACCACCAGGAGUGGAGCCUGCGGCUUAAUUUGACUCAACACGGGAAACCUCACCAGGCCCGGACACCGGAAGGAUUGACAGAUUGAGAGCUCUUUCUUGAUUCGGUGGGUGGUGGUGCAUGGCCGUUCUUAGUUGGUGGAGCGAUUUGUCUGGUUAAUUCCGAUAACGAACGAGACUCUAGCCUGCUAACUAGGCGAUUUCCGGUACCCACAAUAGUGUUACCGGCGAUACAAUUUCUUCUUAGAGGGACAGGCGGCUCCUAGCCGCACGAGACUGAGCAAUAACAGGUCUGUGAUGCCCUUAGAUGUCCUGGGCCGCACGCGCGCUACACUGAAGGAAUCAGCGUGUCUUCCCUGGCCGACAGGCCCGGGUAACCCGUUGAACCUCCUUCGUGCUAGGGAUUGGGGCUUGCAAUUGUUCCCCAUGAACGAGGAAUUCCCAGUAAGCGCGAGUCAUAAGCUCGCGUUGAUUACGUCCCUGCCCUUUGUACACACCGCCCGUCGCUACUACCGAUUGAAUGAUUUAGUGAGGUCUUCGGACUGGUGCGCGGCGAUCGGUUCUACCGGCCGCCGAUGUUGCCGGAAAGAUGACCAAACUUGAUCAUUUAGAGGAAGUAAAAGUCGUAACAAGGUUUCC